AGUGAACGCUGGCGGUAGGCCUAACACAUGCCAGUCGAACGGCAGCACAGUAAGAGCUUGCUCUUACGGGUGGCGAGUGGCGGACGGGUGAGGAAUACAUCGGAAUCUACUUUUUCGUGGGGGAUAACGUAGGGAAACUUACGCUAAUACCGCAUACGACCUACGGGUGAAAGCAGGGGAUCUUCGGACCUUGCGCGAUUGAAUGAGCCGAUGUCGGAUUAGCUAGUUGGCGGGGUAAAGGCCCACCAAGGCGACGAUCCGUAGCUGGUCUGAGAGGAUGAUCAGCCACACUGGAACUGAGACACGGUCCAGACUCCUACGGGAGGCAGCAGUGGGGAAUAUUGGACAAUGGGCGCAAGCCUGAUCCAGCCAUACCGCGUGGGUGAAGAAGGCCUUCGGGUUGUAAAGCCCUUUUGUUGGGAAAGAAAAGCAGUAGGUUAAUACCCCGCUGUCCUGACGGUACCCAAAGAAUAAGCACCGGCUAACUUCGUG
rnacentral:rRNA from 1 species